rfam:Tupaia chinensis contig108922, whole genome shotgun sequence.
UGCGGUCUAGUCGCGUGGAGCCCCAUUCCUGCCGUGGUGGGUGCUGGCCAGAUGACUGCCACAGCAAGCUCCACAAUUCAGGGGCCCCGGCUCCCUGCCCUGGGACCAGGAAUGAGUUUGGUUGUAGACAGGC